UUAAAUUCCUUCUGCGUCUGGACCUUCCAGAUGCCCACACACCUUGGUGGCUGGCUGCCCAGAGCCUCACCUUCGCGCCCAAAGGCGGCUGGGCAAUAGUCCAAACAGAAGACGAUCAAAACAAGGGCAAGCUGGAUGAUAGGAGGUUCCUGAGUUCCCCAGCUCUCCAUCUCCUCGGGGAGUGCUUCUCAGCGCUGGAACUGAAACGCAGCAUUUCUCCAGAACAGAAUUGAAGAGACAGCCUUCCUCAUCUUUGGCCAAGCUCCUCAGCCUCCUCCUUGUUCAGAACGUUUAUUGGCAGAAGAGUCUUUGUUUCUUAGAAGUUCAUCAGCUCGCCAUCUGUUUCUCCCAUGAUGUCACCGCUCUCACUUUUGCCUCAUCGUUACUGCCACGGCAAUCAAUCAGAACUGGAUGCCUCAAAUGUCUGACCUUCAGGAAGAAUUAAAAAGCGGAACUGAAAGGAGAUGAAGAACAAAUAAAAAAAGGAUAAUGGGAAUCAAACCAGAGAAAAAACAACGGUUCAGCCUCUGAUUGCCUCUAAAUGUGAUUCUUCUUCUGCAUUAUGGC
ensembl:lncRNA